rnacentral:rRNA from 1 species
GGGGGGGGGGGGGGGGGGGGGGGGGGGGGGGAGGGGGGGGGAGGGGGGGGGGGGGGUGCGUCGGUGAGGGUAGCGGCGGACGGGUGGGUAAGACGGGGAGAACCUACCUCUAAGACUGGGAUAACUUCGGGAAACCGGAGCUAAUACCGGAGGAUAUUUUGAACCGCAUGGUUCAAAAGUGAAAGACGGUCUGGCUGUCACUUAUCGAUGGAUCCGCGCUGCAUUAGCUAGUGGGUAAGGUAACGGCUUACCACGGCACGGAUGCAUAGCCGACCUGAGAGGGUGAUCGGCCACACUGGAACUGAGACACGGUCCAGACUCCUACGGGAGGCAGCAGUAGGGAAUCUUCCGCAAUGGGCGAAAGCCUGACGGAGCAACGCCGCGUGAGUGAUGAAGGUCUUCGGAUCGUAAAACUCUGUUAUUAGGGAAGAACAUAUGUGUAAGUAACUGUGCACAUCUUGACGGUACCUAAUCAGAAAGCCACGGCUAACUACGUG